UACGUAGGGUGCGAGCGUUGUCCGGAAUUAUUGGGCGUAAAGAGCUCGUAGGCGGUUUGUCGCGUCGGCCGUGAAAACUUGGGGCUUAACCCCAAGCCUGCGGUCGAUACGGGCAGACUUGAGUUCGGCAGGGGAGACUGGAAUUCCUGGUGUAGCGGUGAAAUGCGCAGAUAUCAGGAGGAACACCGGUGGCGAAGGCGGGUCUCUGGGCCGAUACUGACGCUGAGGAGCGAAAGCGUGGGGAGCGAUCCGG
rnacentral:rRNA from 1 species